AUAAAUGAUUUUUUCUGGAAUGAUUGAUCGUUGAAAAUUCGCGUGAGGAUGGGGCUGCGGUGGAUUAGGUAGUUGGCGGGGUAACUGCCCACCAAGCCAAUGAUCCAUAAGGGCCUUUAGCGAGGAAGCCCUGAGAGGGAGUCUGAGACACUACUCCCAGCCCUACGGGGUGCAGCAGUCGGGAAAAUUUUGCAAUGCGCGAAAGCGUGACAGAGCAAGCCAGAGUGAUAUUCCGUUUAGGAAUAUCUUUUGUGGAAUGUAGAAAGUUCCACGAAUAAGGACCGGGAGAGACUGGUGCCAGCCGCCGCGGUAAUCCCAGCGGUCCAAGUCGCAGCCACAUUUGUUGGGUCUAAAACACCCGUAGCUUGUCUUACAAGUCUCUUGUGAAAUCGGGCAUCUUAAGUGUCCGGCGGGCAAGAGAUACUGUUUGACUCGAGACCGGGAGGUGCAGAGAGUAUUUUAGGGGUAGCGGUAAAAUGUGUUGAUCCUUAAAAGACUAACAGUCGCGAAGGCGCUCUGCAAGAACGGAUCUGACAGUGAGGGAUGAAGGCUAGGGGGCGCAAAGUGAUUAGAUACCCAUGUAGUCCUAGCAGUAACACU
rnacentral:rRNA from 1 species